CUGCAGGACGAGGCGGCGAGGCUGAGGGAAGGGCGGCGAGGAGGCGAGGCGCGGGACCUGCCUUUUGCGGCCACGAGGAAGACCUCCCUCCUUCAAGUGAGACGGACGUCUUGUGGCACACUCUUGGCUCCACACUUACCCUUCAGGGGGACUGACCCCUUGCUGCCGAGGGAACCAGCGAGGUCUGGGAGUGUGCUCCUGCACGUGUGGGUCCAGCCGGGCGUCAGUCCUCCACUAAGCUGCUUCUGCAGGUGUUGGGGAGGCACCAGCCAGGCAGCCUUCAGGAGCUGUCAGGGAGAAAGGAAGUCAGCUUUGUGAGGACUGUCAGUGUACUUUGCUCCCCAGGGCUGUAGAUGUUGCAAAUAAAUAAGUAAGGGACGCU